rnacentral:rRNA from 1 species
AUUGAACGCUGGCGGCAGGCCUAACACAUGCAAGUCGAACGAGUGGCGGACGUGUGAGUAAUGUCUGGGAAACUGCCCGAUGGAGGGGGAUAACUACUGGUAACGGUAGCUAAUACCGCAUACCAUCGGAUGUGCCCAGAUGGGAUUAGCUAGUAGGUGGGGUAACGGCUCACCUAGGCGACGAUCCCUAGCUGGUCUGAGAGGAUGACCAGCCACACGGGAACUGAGACACGGUCACGAAUACUACGAGAGGCAGCAGUGGGGAAUAUGGCAGAAUGGGCGCAAGCCUGAUGCAGCCAUGGCGCGUGUAUGAAGAAGGCAUUCGGGUUGUAAAGUACUUUAAGCGAGGAGGCGUUACUCGCAGAAGAAGCACCGGCUAACUCCGUGCCAGCAGCCGCGGUAAUAC